rnacentral:misc_RNA from 1 species
AGCGGCCGCGGUAAUUCCAGCUCCAAUAGCGUAUAUUAAAGUUGUUGCAGUUAAAAAGCUCGUAGUUGAAUUUCGGGAUUGGCGUGUCGGUCGUGCCUUAAGGGGUAUGAACUGGCGUCGUCGAUUUCUCACCUUCUGGAGAAACACGAUGCCCUUAAUUGGGUGUCGUGCGGAACCAGGACCUUUACCUUGAAAAAUUAGAGUGUUUAAAGCAGGCAUUUUUGCUCGAACACAUUAGCAUGGAAUAAUAAAAUAGGACGAUUGGUUCUAUUUUGUUGGUUUCUAGGAUCACCGUAAUGAUUAAUAGGGAUAGUUGGGGGCAUUAGUAUUCAAUUGUCAGAGGUGAAAUUCUUGGAUUUAUUGAAGACUAACUACUGCGAAAGCAUUUGCC